rnacentral:rRNA from 1 species
CACGUAGGGUGCGAGCGUUGUCCGGAAUUAUUGGGCGUAAAGAGCUCGUAGGCGGUGUGUCGCGUCGGCCGUGAAAACCUGCAGCUUAACUGUGGGCUUGCGGUCGAUACGGGCAUCACUGGAGUUCGGCAGGGGAGACUGGAAUUCCUGGUGUAGCGGUGAAAUGCGCAGAUAUCAGGAAGAACACCGGUGGCGAAGGCGGCUCUCUGGGGCCUUACCUGACGCUGAGGAGCGAAAGCGUGGGUAGCGAACAGG